CUAGCUGUAAACGAUGGAUACUAGGAGUUGAGAGUAUCGACCCUCUCAGUGUCGUAGCUAACGCGUUAAGUAUCCCGCCUGGGGAGUACGCGCGCAAGCGUGAAACUCAAAGGAAUUGACGGGGGCCCGCACAAGCGGUGGAGUAUGUGGUUUAAUUCGAUGCAACGCGAAGAACCUUACCAGGGCUUGACAUGUCCGGAACCCUGCCCAAAGGCGGGGGUGCCUACGGGAACCGGAACACAGGUGGUGC
rnacentral:rRNA from 1 species